GACGAACGCUGGCGGCGUGCCUAAUACAUGCAAGUAGAACGCACAGUCCAUACCGUAGCUUGCUACACCAUAAACUGUGAGUUGCGAACGGGUGAGUAACGCGUAGGUAACCUGCCUGGUAGCGUGGGAUAACUAUGGGAAACGAUAGCUAAUACCGCAUAAUAUUGAUUAUUGCAUGAUAAUUGAUGGAAAGAUGCUAUUGCAUCACUACCAGAUGGCCCUGCGUUGUAUUAGCUAGUAGGUGAGGUAACGGCUCACCUAGGCGGCGAUACAGAGCCGACCUGAGAGGGUGAUCGGCCACACUGGGACUGAGACACGGCCCAGACUCCUACGGGAGGCAGCAGUAGGGAAUCUUCGGCAAUGGGCGAAAGUCUGACCGAGCAACGCCGAGUGAGUGAAGAAGGUUUUCGGAUCGUAAAGCUCUGUUGUAAGAGAAGAACGGGUGUGAGAGUGGAAAGUUCACACUGUGACGGUAUCUUACCAGAAAGGGACGGCUAACUACGUG
rnacentral:rRNA from 1 species